CAAUAGCGUAUAUUUAAGUUGUUGCAGUUAAAAAGCUCGUAGUUGGAUUUCGGGUAGGAUUUGCCGGUCCGUCUUUGAGAUGUGUACUGGUAAGUCCUAUCUUCUUGUCGGGGACCAGCUCCUGGGCUUCACUGUCCGGGACUGGGAGCCGACGAAGUUACUUUGAGUAAAUUAGAGUGUUCAAAGCAAGCCUACGCUCUGAAUAUAUUAGCAUGGAAUAACACGAUAGGACUCUGGCUUAUCUUGUUGGUCUGUGAGACCAGAGUAAUGAUUAAGAGGGACAGUUGGGGGCAUUUGUAUUUCGGCGCUAGAGGUGAAAUUCUUAGAUUGCCGAAAGACAAACUGCUGCGAAAGCGUCUGCCAAGGAUGUUUUCAUUGA
rnacentral:rRNA from 1 species